rnacentral:rRNA from 1 species
GAUGAACGCUGGCGGCGUGCCUAAUACAUGCAAGUCGAGCGAACAGACGAGGAGCUUGCUCCUCUGACGUUAGCGGCGGACGGGUGAGUAACACGUGGAUAACCUACCUAUAAGACUGGGAUAACUUCGGGAAGCCGGAGCUAAUACCGGAUAAUAUGUUGAAUCGCAUGGUUCAACAGUGAAAGACGGUCUUGCUGUCACUUAUAGAUGGAUCCGCGCCGCAUUAGCUAGUUGGUAAGGUAACGGCUUACCAAGGCAACGAUGCGUAGCCGACCUGAGAGGGUGAUCGGCCACACUGGAACUGAGACACGGUCCAGACUCCUACGGGAGGCAGCAGUAGGGAAUCUUCCGCAAUGGGCGAAAGCCUGACGGAGCAACGCCGCGUGAGUGAAGAAGGUCUUCGGAUCGUAAAACUCUGUUAUUAGGGAAGAACAAAUGUGUAAGUAACUAUGCACGUCUUGACGGUACCUAAUCAGAAAGCCACGGCUAACUACGUG